GAUGAACGCUGGCGGCAUGCCUAAUACAUGCAAGUCGAACGAGAGGAAGGAAAGCUUGCUUUUCUGAAUCUAGUGGCGAACGGGUGAGUAACACGUAGGUAACCUGCCCAUGUGCCCGGGAUAACUUCUGGAAACGGAUGCUAAAACCGGAUAGGUAGCAGACAAGCAUUUGACUGCUAUUAAAGUGGCUAAGGCCAUGAACAUGGAUGGUCCUGCGGUGCAUUGGCUAGUUGGGGAGGGAACGGCCCACCAAGGCGACGAUGCAUAGCCGGCCUGAGAGGGCGGACGGCCACAUUGGGACUGAGACACGGCCCAAACUCCUACGGGAGGCAGCAGUAGGGAAUUUUCGUCAAUGGGGGGAACCCUGAACGAGCAAUGCCGCGUGAGUGAGGAAGGUCUUCGGAUCGUAAAGCUCUGUUGUAAGAGAAAAACGACAUUCAUAGGGGAUGAUGAGUGAGUGAUGGUAUCUUACCAGAAAGUCACGGCUAACUACGUGCCAGCCGCCGCUGUAA
rnacentral:rRNA from 1 species